GCAGUGAUGAUAUUUUUGGUUUUGAUCAGCAAUGAAAAGAAACUACCAUUCCUCUAAGAAGUUCUGAGCUC
rnacentral:snoRNA from 1 species